GUGGGGAAUAUUGGACAAUGGGCGCAAGCCUGAUCCAGCAAUGCCGCGUGCAGGAAGAAGGCCUUCGGGUUGUAAACUGCUUUUGUACGGAACGAAACGGUCCGGGUUAAUACCCUGGGCUAAUGACGGUACCGUAAGAAUAAGCACCGGCUAACUACGUGCCAGCAGCCGCGGUAAUACGUAGGGUGCAAGCGUUAAUCGGAAUUACUGGGCGUAAAGCGUGCGCAGGCGGUUUUGUAAGACAGGCGUGAAAUCCCCGGGCUCAACCUGGGAAUUGCAUUAGGGACUGUAUAGCUGGAGUGCGGCAGAGGGGGAUGGAAUUCCGCGUGUAGCAGUGAAAUGCGUAGAUAUGCGGAGGAACACCGAUGGCGAAGGCAAUCCCCUGGGCCUGCACUGACGCUCAUGCACGAAAGCGUGGGGAGCAAACAGGAUUAGAUACCCGAGUAGUCC
rnacentral:rRNA from 1 species